UACGGAGGGGGCUAGCGUUGUUCGGAAUUACUGGGCGUAAAGCGCACGUAGGCGGCUUUGUAAGUUAGAGGUGAAAGCCCAGGGCUUAACCCUGGAAUUGCCUUUAAGACUGCAUCGCUAGAAUCGUGGAGAGGUAAGUGGAAUUCCGAGUGUAGAGGUGAAAUUCGUAGAUAUUCGGAAGAACACCAGUGGCGAAGGCGACUUACUGGACACGUAUUGACGCUGAGGUGCGAAAGCGUGGGGAUCAAACAGG
rnacentral:rRNA from 1 species